rnacentral:rRNA from 1 species
AGCGAACGCUGGCGGCAGGCCUAACACAUGCAAGUCGAACGGACCCUUCGGGGUUAGUGGCGGACGGGUGAGUAACACGUGGGAACGUGCCUUUAGGUUCGGAAUAGCUCCUGGAAACGGGUGGUAAUGCCGAAUGUGCCCUUCGGGGGAAAGAUUUAUCGCCUUUAGAGCGGCCCGCGUCUGAUUAGCUAGUUGGUGAGGUAACGGCUCACCAAGGCGACGAUCAGUAGCUGGUCUGAGAGGAUGACCAGCCACACUGGGACUGAGACACGGCCCAGACUCCUACGGGAGGCAGCAGUGGGGAAUCCUGCGCAAUGGGCGAAAGCCUGACGCAGCCAUGCCGCGUGAAUGAUGAAGGUCUUAGGAUUGUAAAAUUCUUUCACCGGGGACGAUAAUGACGGUACCCGGAGAAGAAGCCCCGGCUAACUUCGUG